rnacentral:rRNA from 1 species
UACGUAGGGUGCAAGCGUUGUCCGGAAUGAUUGGGCGUAAAGCGUCCGCAGGUGGCUGUGUAAGUCUGCUGUCAAAGAGCAAAGCUCAACUUUGUAAAGGCAGUGGAAACUACACGGCUAGAGUGCGUUCGGGGCAGAGGGAAUUCCUGGUGUAGCGGUGAAAUGCGUAGAGAUCAGGAAGAACACCGGUGGCGAAGGCGCUCUGCUAGGCCGCAACUGACACUGAGGGACGAAAGCUAGGGGAGCGAACAGG